GAUGAACGCUGGCGGCGUGCCUAAUACAUGCAAGUCGAGCGAGAAGCUUGGAAAUGACGCUUCGGUUGAUUUUCCAAGCGGACAGCGGCGGACGGGUGAGUAACGCGUAGGCAACCUGCCCCUGACAGAGGGAUAGCCAUUGGAAACGAUGAUUAAAACCUCAUGACACCGUAGUAGCACAUGCUACAUCGGUCAAAGAUUUAUCGGUCAGGGAUGGGCCUGCGUCUGAUUAACUGGUUGGUGAGGUAACGGCUCACCAAGGUGACGAUCAGUAGCCGACCUGAGAGGGUGAUCGGCCACAUUGGAACUGAGACACGGUCCAAACUUCUACGGAAGGCAGCAGUAGGGAAUCUUGCACAAUGGGCGAAAGCCUGAUGCAGCAACGCCGCGUGAAGGAUGAAGGCCUUCGGGUUGUAAACUUCUGUUCUAAGGGAAGAAAGAAAGG
rnacentral:rRNA from 1 species